rnacentral:rRNA from 1 species
AAUGGGCGCAAGCCUGAUCCAGCCAUGCCGCGUGAGUGAAGAAGGCCUUAGGGUUGUAAAGCUCUUUCAGCAGGGAAGAUGAUGACGGUACCUGCAGAAGAAGCCCCGGCCAACUCCGUGCCAGCAGCCGCGGUAAUACGGAGGGGGCAAGCGUUGUUCGGAAUUACUGGGCGUAAAGCGCGCGUAGGCGGUUAGGUUAGUCAGGCGUGAAAUCCCGGGGCUCAACCCCGGAACUGCGCUUGAUACUGGCUAACUAGAGGUCUGGAGAGGGUAGUGGAAUUCCCAGUGUAGAGGUGAAAUUCGUAGAUAUUGGGAAGAACACCAGCGGCGAAGGCGGCUACCUGGACAGAUACUGACGCUGAGGUGCGAAAGCGUGGGGAGCAAACAGGAUU